UAUAACUGUCAAUAUUUCAUUCCAUUUUGUGUGUAUUUUAAUAUUUAAAAAAUAUUAUAAAACAGCCGACACGUCGGUAAAAUGAAUACCAUAAUGAAAUAUAAGAAUAGAUAUUAAUAUAUUAUUAUAAUGUAACCUUAUUCUUAUAUACUAAGAAAAAUGAUUUUUAAAAUAACUUUAACUUUCAUUCAAUAGUUUAUAUAAUUUAGACGUAACUAGGGUACACAGUUUAGAAAUAAUGGAAGUACUUAUUUCAAAAAAAAUAAUUUUAUCUUUGCUAUUGUUAGCUACUAUAUCUUUAUAUGUAUCUUUCGUAUUCAAUUCGUGUGUAAUAUCUGGUCUAUCCAAAGCAAUACCUAAAUGGCAAACUCAUCCGGUAAUACCAAACGAAAUACCUUUAGUUCAUUAUUCAGCUUCCGUUCGUGUAGUAUCUUUAUUAGAAGAAAACGAAACUGACAUAUCGCCAAAAUACAAAUUUUUUAGAGAACAGGGUUUAAGACCGGAAAGACAGUUACCAAGUGCUUUAAUUAUCGGUGUUAAAAAAGGAGGUACUAGAGCACUUCUCGAAUUCAUCCGCAUACAUCCAGAUGUGAGAGCAGCUGGUAGCGAAGUUCAUUUUUUUGAUAAAAAUUACGCGAGAGGUUUCCAAUGGUACCGAAAACACAUGCCAGCUACUCUGGAAGGUCAACUUACCAUCGAAAAAACCCCUUCGUAUUUUAUUACCAGAGAAGCCCCGCGCCGAGUGCAUCUAAUGAAUCCAUCCACUAAAUUACUCGUAGUUGUAAGAGACCCCGUUACAAGGGCCAUAUCUGAUUAUGCUCAAGCUAUUUCCAAGAAAGUCGACAUGAAACCGUUCGAACAAUUAGUUUUUGUCAACGGUUCCAUCGGUAGUAUCGUAGAUACGUCUUGGGGCCCCAUAAAACUAGGAAUAUACGCUAGAUAUCUAACGAGAUGGUUGAAAUUUUUUCCUCUGUCUCAAUUUCUGUUCGUCAGUGGGGAACGUUUGGUCUUGGACCCGGCGAUCGAGCUGCGUCGCGUUCAAGAUUUUUUAGGUCUUAAGAGAGUCGUUACGGAAAAACAUUUUUAUUUCAACUCCACGAAAGGUUUUCCUUGUUUGUUUAAAAGCGAGGGGCAUUCGGCGCCCCAUUGUUUGGGAAAAACUAAAGGGCGCAGUCACCCCUACGUUAAUCCAGUGGUUUUACAAAGGCUUAGAGAUUUUUUUAGGCCUUUCAAUAAUCAUUUUUAUCAGAUGACUGGGAUUCAUUUCGGUUGGGCUUGAAAUAUGGUGUUGUUGGAUUUUUUUUGUAUUUUUAGAAUUAUUUAUUGAAUUUUGAGGAUGAUAUGGCGCGAAAUGUAGUGGUAUUUAAACGAUUGGCUCAUUUUUAUUUAUCUCAACAGUUUUGUACGACUGUUUGAUGGCAGACAAGUUUUAAACACUCAUAGUAUAUUUUCCUCAAUUCUAGAGGCUAAAACGAAAAAAAAUUUAGUAAAAAUUGUAAUUUCUAACACUUAAUAAUAUUAGAUGUUUUAUUUAACUAACCUCAAAAUUUAUUAGUUUUUUGCAUUUUUCUCGAAAGUUUUGAGGUUAUGUGGAAAAACGUAUCUUACGAAAUUUGUAGAUUUUUCAAUUCUAAACAACUUUUGCUCAACACAUUUUUUGGUAGGAAGCCUUCUUUUUUCAUAAAUCGUAUUUGAAUAUCGAAAAUUGCAGUAUUUGCAUUUUUUUCAGAAAAUUUUGAGUUUAGGUGAAAAUGUUAUAUGAAGAAAAUUGUAGAUUUUUCAAUUCUAAACAACUUUUCCUUAACACAUUUUUUGGUAGGAAGCCUUCUUUUUUCGUAAAUCGUAUUUGAACAUCUAAAAUUGAAAGUUUAUGCAUUUUUUCCAUAAAAUUUUGAGGUUAGGUGAAAAUGUUAUAUAAAGAAAAUUGUAGAUUUUAAUUCUAAACAACUUUUCCUCAACACAUUUUUUGGUAGGAAGCCUUCUUUUUUCAUAAAUCGUAUUUGAAUAUCGAAAAUUGCAGUUUUUGCAUUUUUUCCAGAAAAUUUUGAGGUUAGGUGAAAAUGUUAUAUAAAGAAAAUUGUAGAUUUUAAUUCUAAACAACUUUUCCUCAACACAUUUUUUGGUAGGAAGCCUUCUUUUUUCAUAAAUCGUAUUUGAAUAUCGAAAAUUGCAGUAUUUGCAUUUUUUUCAGAAAAUUUUGAGGUUAGGUGAAAAUGUUAUAUGAAGAAAAUUGUAGAUUUUUCAAUUCUAAACAACUUUUCCUCAACACAUUUUUUGGUAGGAAGCCUUCUUUUUUCAUAAAUCGUCUUUGAAUAUCGAAAAUUGCAGUUUUUACAUUUUUUCCAGAAAAUUUUGAGGUUAGGUGAAAAUGUUAUAUAAAGAAAAUUGUAGAUUUUAAUUCUAAACAACUUUUCCUCAACACAUUUUUUGGUAGGAAGCCUUCUUUUUUCAUAAAUCGUAUUUGAAUAUCGAAAAUUGCAGUUUUUGCAUUUUUCCAGAAAAUUUUGAGGUUAGGUGAAAAUGUUAUAUAAAGAAAAUUGUAGAUUUUUCAAUUCUAAACAACUUUUCUCUAACACAUUUUUUGGUAGGAAGCCUUCUUUUUUCAUAAAUCGUAUUUGAAUAUCGAAAAUUGCAGUUUUUACAUUUUUUCAGAAAAUAUUGAGGUUAUGUGAAAAUGUUAUAUAAAGAAAAUUGUAGAUUUUUUAAUUAUAAACAACUUUUCCUCAACACAUUUUUUGGUAGGAAGCCUUCUUUUUUCAUAAAUCGUAUUUGAAUAUCGAAAAUUGCAGUUUUUACAUUUUUUCAGAAAAUAUUGAGGUUAUGUGAAAAUGUUAUAUAAAGAAAAUUGUAGAUUUUUUAAUUAUAAACAACUUUUCCUCAACACAUUUUUUGGUAGAAAGCCUUCUUUUUUCGUAAAUCGCAUUUGAACAUCUAAAAUUGAAAGUUUAUGCAUUUUUUCCAUAAAAUUUUGAGGUUAGGUGAAAAUGUUAUAUAAAGAAAAUUGUAGAUUUUUUAAUUCUAAACAACUUUUCCUUGAUGAAUUUUCUGAUAUAAAGUCUAAUUUAUUCUUAAAAUGUACUUGAAACAUAAGAAAUAAGAUUUUUUCAUUUUUUUCGUAAACUUUGAGGUUAGGUAAAAAAGUAUUCAAUAUAAACAGAAGAUUUUUUAUUUCUCUCUGAUAUAUUACUCAAUAGAAAAACCAGUUACGCUAUAUGAAGGACAGAUCCGUACUAAACUGUGAAUCUAAACAUUACCACUAUUUUUCAAGCAGUAUUUCAUCAAUAUUGGAAUGUAUUUUAUCUACGGCACUUUUAUAUAAAUCAUUUAUACAUUUUUUGUGACACCUUAAAUUAAUUAGAAUCAGUAUUUAAUCGCCAAUUAAAAAAAAAUUCUAAAUUUGGUCGUAAAUUAUAACAAAAUGAAUUUACAUAAGUACAGUCCUGGAUAAAAUAUACCCAAUGAAUGUUAAAUAAACUCGAAUUAUCAUUUUUUUGGUUAAUAUUUCGAAUUUUUCUAGUCAAAAGUGUUUUAUUAGUUUUAAAUCUUAUAUUGUUGAUUUUACAUAUGUUUUAUUAUAAGUUUAUCGAUUUUAAGAGAGCAAAUGACAUUAAUUUAAUCUUGUUGAUUAAUUUUUUACGUAUUUACACAAUAUAACGUGUUGAGUUUCAUUAUUUAUCUAUGGAAAUGAUCAGUUUUGGUGGAAUGUUCCACUUAGUAGAACGUAGACACUGUCAAUUGACUAUAUUUAGAAUACACGGUUUAUACAAAAAAUUCAACUAAGUAAGUAGGGUAUUUAAAAAAAAAACAACAUUUUUGCACAUUAUUUGCAUUCGUUUGUCACUUGCCUAUUCAAAAACAACUUUUUUUGAAUACUGUCAAUUAUAUUAAACUCGAUUUGUACUCAACCAAAAUUAUUGUACAAGGGAUAUAGAAAUUUUCAUCGAACAACGUUUUGUUUAUUUUAUACACAUUUUUUUGUAGUUGAUUACGGAUAUUUGUAACCAAAGCGAUUGUACCAAAGUAAUAAAAUCACGCUUACGAUAUAAUUGUUGAAGCUAUAGCAAUAAUAAAGUUUUUUAUCCAAAUAAAA